UUUUGUGUAUAUACAUUUCAUUUCAAUGUUUAUUUCCCUUUCCCAAGUUUCUCCAGAGUGAAGCAGAUGUUCAUCUACAGAUGACUGACCUCGAAGAUUACGGGAUCAGUGAGUGCCUAUGUGUGAAGUCUAUGCUCCACGCAAAACAUCUCAAUGGAAGCGAGAGGUCGUUGGAGUGCUACAAAUAUGUGAAGCUUUCUGACACCCCCGAUGCAGCCAACCUGAACACCGCCCCCGCUACAAACGACGAGAAGUAAGGAAUUUAAGACUACCUUAAUCUUGGUGGACCACUAUUGUAUUCUACUAGGAA